rnacentral:rRNA from 1 species
GAUGAACGCUAGCUACAGGCUUAACACAUGCAAGUCGAGGGGAAACGGCAUUAAGUGCUUGCACUUUUUGGACGUCGACCGGCGCACGGGUGAGUAACGCGUAUCCAACCUUCCCAUGACUAAGGGAUAACCUGCCGAAAGGCAGACUAAUACCUUAUGGUCUUCACUGACGGCAUCAGAUGUGAAGUAAAGAUUUAUCGGUUAUGGAUGGGGAUGCGUCUGAUUAGUUAGUUGGCGGGGUAACGGCCCACCAAGGCAACGAUCAGUAGGGGUUCUGAGAGGAAGGUCCCCCACAUUGGAACUGAGACACGGUCCAAACUCCUACGGGAGGCAGCAGUGAGGAAUAUUGGUCAAUGGGCGAGAGCCUGAACCAGCCAAGUAGCGUGCAGGACGACGGCCCUAUGGGUUGUAAACUGCUUUUGUAUGGGGAUAAAGUCAAUCACGUGUGAUUGUUUGCAGGUACCAUACGAAUAAGGACCGGCUAAUUCCGUGCCAGCAGCCGCGGUAAUACGGAAGGUCCGGGCGUUAUCCGGAUUUAUUGGGUUUAAAGGGAGCGUAGGCUGGAGAUUAAGUGUGUUGUGAAAUGUAGACGCUCAACGUCUGACUUGCAGCGCAUACUGGUUUCCUUGAGUACGCACAACGUUGGCGGAAUUCGUCGUGUAGCGGUGAAAUGCUUAGAUAUGACGAAGAACUCCGAUUGCGAAGGCAGCUGAGGGGAGCGCAACUGACGCUGAAGCUCGAAGGUGCGGGUAUCGAACAGG